CCUGUACCAGGCACCGUGAGAACUGAAGAAGGAAGAGGAAGACGUGGCCCCAGCCCUUAAGGAGCUUACAAUCUGGCAGGCAGGAUGAGCAUAGAUGUCUGCCCAAAGAUACUAACCACAGAAAAGUAUGCCCAACCAAACCACAGUGGUGUUGUGGAACUAGAGAGAACAGACAACAAACGGGGAAAGGCAAAUACUGAUGGGGACACAGAAGCCAGGCAGGCUUCUUGGAGAAGAAGGAAAAAUCCUCAUAUCCAUAAAGACAGCUCCCAAAAUCCCAGAAGACCCUCCCGGACAAAUCCUUCCUGCCUCGUCGUAUUGUUGUCUGUCUUUCGUUCUCAGAGAAGACCAUCACAAGGGUGAUGUCUUAAGGGCCCGGUCCCUCCACAGACCCUCCUCAGAGAGUGAUCUAACUGUACCUGCCCAGGGUGUACCCCUAAGGUUCUGUCCUGGGCUAAGGAAAGAAAGAAAGGAAGAAAGAAAGGAAGGAAGGAAGGAAAGGAGAGAGAGAAGAGAGAAGAAAGGAG
rnacentral:lncRNA from 1 species